rnacentral:rRNA from 1 species
UACGUAGGGUGCAAGCGUUGUCCGGAAUUAUUGGGCGUAAAGAGCUCGUAGGCGGCUUGUCGCGUCGACUGUGAAAUCCCGAGGCUCAACUUCGGGCUUGCAGUCGAUACGGGCAGGCUAGAGUUCGGUAGGGGAGACUGGAAUUCCUGGUGUAGCGGUGAAAUGCGCAGAUAUCAGGAGGAACACCGAUGGCGAAGGCAGGUCUCUGGGCCGAUACUGACGCUGAGGAGCGAAAGCGUGGGGAGCGAGCAGG